rnacentral:misc_RNA from 1 species
GAAAUGCGAUAAUUAAUGUGAAUUGCAGAAUUCAGUGAAUCAUCGAGUCUUUGAACGCACAUUGCGCCCCCUGGUAUUCCGGGGGGCAUGCCUGUCCGAGCGUCAUUGCUGCCCUCAAGCACGGCUUGUGUGUUGGGCUUCCGUCCCCGGCAACGGGGACGGGCCCAAAAGGCAGUGGCGGCACCAUGUCUGGUCCUCGAGCGUAUGGGGCUUUGUCACCCGCUCCCGUAGGUCCAGCUGGCAGCUAGCCUCGCAACCAAUCUUUUUAACCAGGUUGACCUCGGAUCAGGUAGGGAUACCCGCUGAACUUAAGC